rnacentral:lncRNA from 1 species
UCCAGAAAGUGGGUUCAAGCGGCCAAGCACUCAAGAGGGUGACCUGUCGCCACCCCGCAAACGUGAACCUCGGUUGAGGUCUUCAAGCGCAAGAGAUGCUGAUAUGUCACCACCACGUAAACGGAGGGUUCAAAGUGAUACACCUGAACUUGAAACGAAGCCAUUGAGUUCUAGAGAUGCUGAUAUUUCACCACCGCGUAGAAGAAAGGCCCGGAAUGAUUCACCUGAAUCUGAUAUGAAGUCUUUCAGCACUAGAAAUACUGAUAUCUCACCACCAAGGCGACGUAGGACUCGAAAUGAUACCCCUUCACCA